GCAGAAUGUGCUUUGUUAAACAAGUGCUUGAAGGCAGUAUGCUUGGUAAAAGUCAUCGCCAUUCUCUAAUCUUGAGUACCCAGGGACACGAUACACUGCGGAAGGCUGCAGGGACCUCUGCCCAGGAAAGCCAGGUGGUUUCCAAAAGGAAAAGCUUUGGGAGAUAGAAGUCCUCGUUUUGACCUCUGCCCUCCUUGUACACCAGGAGCCAGAAAAACUUCAUCUCUUUUACAAGAAACAUUGAGAUUCCUGUAAAAUUAAGAAAUCACACAAUUUGAUGGUCUACAUUAUCUAAAGCAAAUGAGACUUCUAUUUGGAACAAAGACUACCUUGUUGGGAAAUGAGUCUGCAAGUUAAAGUGUUUUCUGGAUCCAGUAUCUGCCGGAGGAGCCCCACCUUCUGCUACUAUUAUGUUCUUCAGAUGAGUAGAAGAGAGUGGGGAGGGAGAGAGCAGGAAGAAGAAAGGAAGAAUAAUGUCUUGAAAUUGGACAUGAUGCUGACUUUGAAGAUGCAAGCUUCCACAUCUACAGCCUCAAGGAAACAAAUUCAGCCAACCAACUGAGGGAGCUUUCCUUGUCCUGCCUCAAGAUGAGAUCACAGUCUGCCCAACACCAUGAUUUAGGCCUUGUGACACCUGGUAUGGAAGACCCAAGCUCAGAUGGAAAAGAAUGGUGUUACUGAGACCCUUCAAGAUUCCCAGUGUAAUUCAAUAAAGAAAAGGCAACACAAAGGGGUUGUAUAGAAUUCGCCACAUUAUGGACCCAUGUCAUAGAGAGAAUCCACGGUGCAUUUGUUAGCUGCAUUUAAAUGACAACACUUUCAGAUCCAAGAUUUAUUUGGGAUAAAAAUUUACCUGGAUGCAAGGCUAUUCAGAAUGAAGAUUAAUGAUAUGGUUUGGCUGUGUCCCCACCCAAACUUCAUCUUGAAUUCCCACGUGUUGUGAGAGGGACCUGGUGGGAGAUAAUUGAACCAUGGGGGCAGGUCUUUCUCAUGCUGUUCUCAUGAGAGUGAAUAAGUCUCAUGAAACCUGAUGGUUUUAUAAGGGGGAAUUUCCCUGCACAAGCUCUCUCUCUGCCUUUUGCCAUCCAUGUAAGACGUGACUUGGUCCUCCUUGCCUUCUACCAUGAUUAUGAGGCCUCCCCAGCCACGUGGAACUGUGAGUCCAUUAAACCUCUUUCUUUUGUAAA
ensembl:lncRNA HISLA HIF1A stabilizing long noncoding RNA